rnacentral:lncRNA from 1 species
AAUGGCUGGACAAAAUAAAAAUGCCAAUAACUUUUUUAUUUUUCAAAAGAAUUAUCUCAGAUUUGAAAUAUAAAAUAAUAUGUCAUAUUUUGAAAAAUAAAUGUUAUAAAAAAUAUAGAAAGUUUAAACGUGACAUGACCAUCGCAGACUGACAGGACCAACCUCGACAAUGACAGGACCAGAUGAAAUUGCUAAUUACUUUUUACUUCUAAAAAAUAUUUUUUCUGAAAUUUGAGAUAUAAUCAGAUUUAACCAUUUUAUACAUAAAGAUAGGAAUAACAUAGAAAAAAAUAUUAAAAGCUUGCUGUAAUGUGACCUGACCAACGCUGACAAUGACAGGACAAACCUCGACAAGGACAGGACCAAAUAAAAAUGCUAUUCACUUUUUAAUUUUGAAAAGAAAAUUAUGUCAGAUUUAAAAUAUAUCAAUUAAAGAAAAAAAAUCUAGAUUUUUUUUAUUGCGAAAACGUGAAAUGACCAUAGUUCCUACUAUAGAAAUCCUGGUUGAAAUUAAUAAUAAUAAUUAAAAAACACACAUUAAGAUUGAAUGAUUUAAAAGUUUUUAGAAAAUAAGGGAAAAAAGCUAACUGGGGGAAAACGUUAGGUUUGCGAACGCCCACCGCGUUAUUUGAUUUUUUUAUUGGAAUAUUGUAUUAAACCGAGUUGUAGAAAUAUUGCACUUCUCAGCCUGAGAAACUUUGUAGCUUUAUCAAAUCUAUUUUUGCGAAAGUCUAUGAUCCUCCUGGUUGGUACAACUAUAUGUUUAUUUAUCUUUGGUGUAAAUAUUUAUCAUAUUAAUUGAUAUUUCACACAUGCUAUAUCUUAUAUAUGUUAUAUAUAUCAUUGUAAUAUCUUCUCUGUAACUAUGUAUUUGGUUUGA